AAUCACUAAGCAGGCUAAGAGGAAUAAAUGCGAAGUGUUUAUACAACCUUCAAAAUCCAACUCAGACUUUAAGAGGAAUAUAGCAAACAUUUUUGCAUGCAGAAAAAAACAACGAACAAGAAGGUGAAAAGAACUCAAAAUAACACAAGGAAUAGACAGAAUUAAACUCAGGAAUGAGGGAUGUGAUAUCACUCCUCAAUUACCUGAAGGUAAUUUCUCCAAUUGGAGAACGUAGUAAGGCUUGUUCUGUAUAGCCCUAAAAAGUGGGAUCUACACAGAGAUAUAUUUUGGCUCAAAAUAAAGAGGAAGCCUCUUACUAUCACAGUAACCUUAAUAUGGAAUGAACCACCUCCAUUUGGAGUGAGUUCCUCAUUCCUGGAGGUGUUGAAAAUGCUGUAGAUGAGUUUCUACUUUGCUCUGAAAGGGUGUCUAUUAAAAAUAAACCUCCUGGUAUUCAUUGUGUACUUACUAUGUUCCAGGCACAUGAUUCUACUUCUCAAUCUGGGUCUACUGAAGGAGACACCAAAUUACCCAACAGAGUAAUCAGCGUAGUGCCAAAAAGGUGUACGGGCAGGGAGAGCACAGCUCCUAACUCAGCAUAGGGGUCAAGUAAAUCUUCCUGCAGGAGGUUUCCUGAGCUUGGCUUCCAAUGAUAAAGAGGAAUCAAGCAAGGAGUCAAGGGCCAGAAAACAGUUGGACUAAAAUUAGUGGCUUUCAGGCUUGCACCAUAGACCCCUAGGAUAUUCACAUGGACUCUUGAGGGGUUCCUGGGGGCAAGACUAUGUGGCUGGAGUUUUAAACAUUUCCUAUACUUCAACCAAAGCAGAUAAUUUUAAUCUAUUAUGUACCUUGGGACUCCACUUAAGAUUUUCAAAUAAGUCGCCUGCAUUUUAAAACAGAUCACAAAAAUAUUAAUUCAGUAAACCAUGUCCCAGAGAUUGUGUCUCCUAACCUGGGUAUGCUUUUUAUAGAUUAUGACUCCAUAUUGGAAGUAUGGAGGUAGUUUACUGAUGGGAAGAGGUCCCAUAGAGCCCCAGACUCAACUAGAGCCUCCUUGUUUCUGCCAUUCGGUCAUGCUGAUGGGUGCUGGCAUAAUGCAGUGAGACCAGAAGAAACUGACUUAACUUCUUCCUCUGAGGAGGAGCCUGUGGCUUUAGAAGGGAAAUAAUAACCACCCAAUAUAACCAAGAUGCUAAGCCAUAACAUGGUUUUCUGAGCCCUCACUCAUCAAGCUGGAAAAGAUGCUUCAGCACCAAGGACAGCGCUCAUAGCCGCGGCCCUGACAGAAGACGCCAACUUCACCUCCUUAAGGCCUGGUCCUGUGUCUCUCGAGGUCCUCCACAUGCGGUACCAGAGUGACACUUAUUUAAGACAUUUAAAUAAGAUCAGGUUCCUCCCUCACCCUCCAAGGUGCGGUCACCAGGUCCUUGUCCACAGUUUAGUACUUCUCUCUCCUGCCUUUUUCCCAGACUUCCUGCCCUUGGGUGAACCAGCUGCCAUAUUAUUAGGACUCUCAAGCAGCCCUAUGGAGAUGCACAGAAGAAACUGAGGCCUCCUGCCAACAGCCAUGUGAGUAAGCCAGCUUGAAAGCAGAUCCUCCAGCCCCAGUCAAGACUUCAGAUGACUGCAGUCCCAGCUGACAGCAUGACUGCAACUCAUGAGAGGAUCCAAGCCAGAACUAACUAAGCUGCUCCCAAAUUUCUGACCCAUAGAAACUGUAUGAGAUAAUAAAUGUUCACUGUUGC
rnacentral:lncRNA from 10 species